GUCGAACGAUGAUGCCCAGCUUGCUGGGCGGAUUAGUGGCGAACGGGUGAGUAACACGUGAGUAACCUGCCCUUGACUUCGGGAUAACUCCGGGAAACCGGGGCUAAUACCGGAUAUGAGCCGCCUUCGCAUGGGGGUGGUUGGAAAGUUUUUCGGUCAGGGAUGGGCUCGCGGCCUAUCAGCUUGUUGGUGGGGUGAUGGCCUACCAAGGCGACGACGGGUAGCCGGCCUGAGAGGGCGACCGGCCACACUGGGACUGAGACACGGCCCAGACUCCUACGGGAGGCAGCAGUGGGGAAUAUUGCACAAUGGGCGAAAGCCUGAUGCAGCGACGCCGCGUGAGGGAUGAAGGCCUUCGGGUUGUAAACCUCUUUCAGCAGGGAAGAAGCGCAAGUGACGGUACCUGCAGAAGAAGCGCCGGCUAACUACGUGCCAGCAGCCGCGGUAAUACGUAGGGCGCAAGCGUUUGUCCGGAAUUAUUGGGCGUAAAGAGCUCGUAGGCGGUUUGUCGCGUCUGGUGUGAAAACU
rnacentral:rRNA from 1 species